CCAGGAUUACCUCCUCGGCGGGGAAACCGGAUGGAUUUCCAAGACGUCGUGCUCGCCGGCGGCGUUUCCAAAAGGCUCUACGCUCUCGUCUCCAAGGUUUCUCUCCUUCGUCCCCUCCCCAUCCCCUUCGAACCUCUCUCUCUCUCGCCGUCAUUCCUACCCCCCACCGGGGUUAACCUGGUCCUUCUCUAAGGCGUUGCUUCCCGUCGGCAACCACGCCGUUUUCUCUUAAGUCCUCGAGCUUCUCGAAGCCAGCAACCUCAAAGACCUCAUCGUGGUUGAAGGGGAAGAUGCGGCUCUCCGAACGGGUGGCUGGAUUUCGGGUGCUUCUGUCGACCGUCUUCAUUUGAAGUGAGACAACUUAGCUAAGCCUUAGUCCCAUACUAGUUGGGGUCAGUUACAUGAAUCCUUUUCUUCCAUUCCACUCGUUUUAGGUGGAGGUGAGAUCCAGAUAUUUAUUUAUUUUUCAAAUCCUGUUUGGUAUCCGCUGUAAUCACUGUUUAAAAAUCCAGUAAUUACACUUUGGAGCUAUGCUUGUGGUAAGUAAGUAUUUGAUGCAGUUGGAAUUCAUUUUGAAGUUAUGCUUGUAGAAAGUAGUACUUGCUGGAGUUGGAAUUCAUUUGGUGUUUGUUGUAAUGCCUCACUGCUCGAUUUGGCAUGCAUUCAGGUGAAUGGUGCUGCAGACUAGGCCGCCUCCUUUGUUGCGGAGCAUUCAGGCGUGGGGUUGUGGAUUGACGCCUAGAGCCUCUUGUGCCUUUUCGUGAUGUUUUAUUUUCUGUAUUUUUUUUUUGGUUGUUUUCAUACUAGACUUGUAUGUUUGCUCCACCUUAUUAAAAUAAUAAUAAUAAUAAAAAAAGAUUUAGCAUGCAUUUUAAUUGGCGAUGGGGGGAGAGCUAUUUAAUUUCUGAUUUGCAGAGUAGGAUCGAUAGCCAGGUUCCAUCAUAAAAUUGGUUUGUUCUUGGGGUUAUUGCUUUGUUGCUGUGACUUCAGAUGUCUUGGCUUGUCUUUAAUUUGUUAUAUUUGUUUUGAGCAUUUGGUA